UACGUAGGGCGCAAGCGUUGUCCGGAAUUAUUGGGCGUAAAGAGCUCGUAGGCGGUUUGUCGCGUCUGCUGUGAAAACCUAAGGCUCAACCUCGGGACUGCAUUGGAUACUGGCAGACUUGAGUGCGGUAGAGGCAAGUGGAAUUCCAGGUGUAGCGGUGAAAUGCGUAGAUAUCUGGAAGAACACCGGUGGCGCAAGCGACUUGCUGGGCCGUAACUGACACUGAGGAACGAAAGCUAGGGGAGCGAAUGGG
rnacentral:rRNA from 1 species